UACGGAGGGUGCGAGCGUUGUCCGGAAUCACUGGGCGUAAAGGGCGCGUAGGCGGCCUGGUAAGUCAUCUGUGAAAUCCCGGUGCUCAACGCCGGGGCCGCAGGUGAGACUGUCAGGCUAGAGCUUGGUAGAGGCGAGUGGAAUUCCCGGUGUAGCGGUGGAAUGCGUAGAUAUCGGGAAGAACACCGGUGGCGAAGGCGGCUCGCUGGGCCGAUGCUGACGCUGAGGCGCGAAAGCGUGGGGAGCAAACAGG
rnacentral:rRNA from 1 species